GACGAACGCUGGCGGCGUGCUUAACACAUGCAAGUCGAACGGAAAGGCCCUGCUUUUGUGGGGUGCUCGAGUGGCGAACGGGUGAGUAACACGUGAGUAACCUGCCCUUGACUUUGGGAUAACUUCAGGAAACUGGGGCUAAUACCGGAUAGGAGCUCCUGCUGCAUGGUGGGGGUUGGAAAGUUUCGGCGGUUGGGGAUGGACUCGCGGCUUAUCAGCUUGUUGGUGGGGUAGUGGCUUACCAAGGCAUUGACGGGUAGCCGGCCUGAGAGGGUGACCGGCCACAUUGGGACUGAGAUACGGCCCAGACUCCUACGGGAGGCAGCAGUGGGGAAUAUUGCACAGUGGGCGGAAGCCUGAUGCAGCAACGCCGCGUGCGGGAUGACGGCCUUCGGGUUGUAAACCGCUUUCGCCUGUGACGAAGCGUGAGUGACGGUAAUGGGUAAAGAAGCACCGGCUAACUACGUG
rnacentral:rRNA from 1 species